GCGGCCUAUCAGCUUGUUGGUGAGGUAACGGCUCACCAAGGCUACGACGGGUAACCGGCCUGAGAGGGCGAACGGUCACACUGGGACUGAGGCACGGCCCAGACUCCUACGGGAGGCAGCAGUGGGGAAUAUUGGGCAAUGGGCGGAAGCCUGACCCAGCGACGCCGCGUGAGGGAUGAAGGCCUUCGGGUUGUAAACCUCUUUCAGCAGGGAAGAAGCGAAAGUGACGGUACCUGCAGAAGAAGCACCGGCUAACUAUGUGCCAGCAGCCGCGGUAAUACAUAGGGUGCAAGCGUUGUCCGGAAUUAUUGGGCGUAAAGAGCUCGUAGGUGGCUCGUCACGUCGAAUGUGAAACCCUGAGGCUCAACCUCAGGCCUGCAUCCGAUACGGGCGAACUGGAGUGUGGUAGGGGAGACUGGAAUUCCU
rnacentral:rRNA from 1 species